AUACUCUGGCUUCUCUUCAGUUCGUAUAAAUCUUUCGCCUUUUACUAAAGAUUUCCGUGGAGAGGAGCAUUAAAGAGUUUUACAUAAUUUUUUGAUGCCUUGCGAAAGCGAGGCU